AUUGAACGCUGGCGGAAUGCCUUACACAUGCAAGUCGAACGGCAGCACGGGUGCUUGCACCUGGUGGCGAGUGGCGAACGGGUGAGUAAUACAUCGGAACAUGUCCUGUAGUGGGGGAUAGCCCGGCGAAAGCCGGAUUAAUACCGCAUACGAUCCACGGAUGAAAGCGGGGGACCUUCGGGCCUCGCGCUAUAGGGUUGGCCGAUGGCUGAUUAGCUAGUUGGUGGGGUAAAGGCCUACCAAGGCGACGAUCAGUAGCUGGUCUGAGAGGACGACCAGCCACACUGGGACUGAGACACGGCCCAGACUCCUACGGGAGGCAGCAGUGGGGAAUUUUGGACAAUGGGCGAAAGCCUGAUCCAGCAAUGCCGCGUGUGUGAAGAAGGACUUCGGGUUGUAAAGCACUUUUGUCCGGAAAGAAAUCCUUGACUCUAAUACAGUCGGGGGAUGGCGGUACCGGAAGAAUAAGCACCGGCUAACUACGUG
rnacentral:rRNA from 1 species